rnacentral:rRNA from 1 species
AGCGAACGCUGGCGGCAGGCCUAACACAUGCAAGUCGAACGAACUCUUCGGAGUUAGCGGCGGACGGGUGAGUAACACGUGGGAACGUGCCUUUUGGUUCGGAAUAACUCAGGGAAACUUGUGCUAAUACCGAAUGUGCCCUUCGGGGGAAAGAUUUAUCGCCAUUAGAGCGGCCCGCGUCUGAUUAGCUAGUUGGUGAGGUAACGGCUCACCAAGGCGACGAUCAGUAGCUGGGCUGAGAGGAUGACCAGCCACACUGGGACUGAGACACGGCCCCGACUCCUACGGGAGGGAGCAGUGGGGAAUCUUGCGCAAUGGGCGAAAGCCUGACGCAGCCAUGCCGCGUGAAUGAUGAAGGUCUUAGGAUUGUAAAAUUCUUUCACCGGGGACGAUAAUGACGGUACCGGGAGAAGAAGCCCCGGCUAACUUCGU